rnacentral:rRNA from 1 species
GAUGAACGCUGGCGGCGUGCCUAACACAUGCAAGUCGAACGAAGCUUGACGGAUGAUUUCUUCGGAAUGACACCAGAUAUGACUUAGUGGCGGACGGGUGAGUAACACGUGAGCAACCUGCCUUUCAGAGGGGGAUAACGGCUGGAAACGGUCGCUAAUACCGCAUGAUGUGUUCGGAUGGCAUCCUCUGAACAUCAAAGAUUUAUCGCUGAAAGAUGGGCUCGCGUCUGAUUAGUUAGUUGGUGGGGUAACGGACUACCAAGUCUACGAUCAGUAGCCGGACUGAGAGGUAGAACGGCCACAUUGGGACUGAGAUACGGCCAAGACUCCUACGGGAGGCAGCAGUGGGGAAUAGUGCACAAUGGGGGAAACGCUGAUGCAGCAACGCCGCGUGAAGGAUGACGGUUUGCGGAGUGUAAACUUCUUUUCUUAGUGACGAAGACAGUGACGGUAGCUAAGGAAUAAGCACCGGCUAACUACGUG